UAUUUUCUUGGGUGGAAGUUACAGAUUAUUCUGGAAUCUUUCCAUUUUCCUGUAUCCCACUCUGACCUUUAAAAAAUAGCCCUCAAAAGUCACCUGCUAAGGUUUAAAAUUCCCAAAGCCCUCCAAUUUGUGUUUUGAGUUUAGGGUCUCAAUCUAAGUACUUUUUGAAAAUUAUCAAUAGCAUUUUCCUCAUCAACCACCAGGUGGCAGAUGGAUCCUGUUUUUAGAAAGCGACCCCGACCCCGCCCUACCGGAAGCUGUCAUGCAAAGGAAAUCUCUGGGCCCCUCCUGUAUACAGUUCAGCACCCGGGACGCGGACAGCGACACCGCCCAGUCUAGUCCCGUGACUCGCUGCGGAGAUUUUCACCUGACAGAGUAACUGGCCAAUCCCAGCCGGUUCCAAGGGCCGCGUGGCUGACUAAUUUAUAAUACCAGAUGUGGAGGUGGGUAGAAAACCCUUGAUGUGGGGCAUUUAGAGUGGCAGGAAAACCAACUGAUAUCAAACAGUAUCCCCUGCUGCAAAAUCCUGCGUUUGUUUGUCUCUCCGCUCUCUCGCUCACCGCCGCCAUCCACACGCCUCGCAAAUUGUGCCGCGCCGUGAGACAGACGCUGGACUUCACCCGACGCCGAGCGUUGGUUUACCCCGACAGAACCGUGAGGCAGGAGGCGGGGCGGUCUGCAGGCCAUGGCGGCUGUGCCUCCUUUGGACCAAGAUGCUUGUCAGCUGCUUUGGAAAACCAGCCCGAGGACGGAGUGCUUUCUCUCUUUUUCCAGUGAAUUAAUCUCAAAAAUACAAACACCAGCUGUCUUUUGUUCACACGAAAUUACCAUCUUAGGCAAAGAGACGGUACUGAGGCGCAAGUGUUCUGCAAGCGACGGUUUAGGUGUCGUUUUCCAGUUGCCUAGCAACUAAUUAGACAAAAGAGCACGUUGCUACGGUUUUAAUUCGCGGUUUCGAACUGCAAAAACCCAAGGGCAAAUUAAAAUGGCUUCCGGAUAGCAGAUAUCAGGGACUACAUUUUAGAAUCAGGAUGUACUUAAUUCUAGGUACUUGCUAAAGAGGAACAAAAAGCUAUUUGAGGCUGACAAGUUUGAGAUUGCCAAAUAGGUUAAAUCAAGCGAAAUUUUAGUUGUAGUUUAUCCUUUCACGGAUUGCUUUCCUUCUCACCGCUUUGGCGGCGACAGUUCACAUUUUUAACCAGCAGAGGGCGAGUCGACUGCAGUUUUCGCCCUUCAGACACUCCUCCUUCCACCUCCGCCCCUGGAAUUAAUUUAGCACUCUGCUUUUCAAAUAUAGAACAAGCCGAGCAAGUGAUGGUGGAAAGAGUGUGGUGUGCGGGACUUGGCCCAGCGCCCGACCCGUCAGCCCCGAACGUGUGGCUGCUCGGCACUCACGCCCACAAGCGUCUCCUUGCCGGGGCUGCGGGAAGAAUCGCAGUGGCGGUUGCAGCAAAGCUCAGGGAUGAGAAACAGCCCGGUCCUCAGAAGGCGGGGAGACACAGGCUCCUUGGCCUCUGAUAACUGAAAGACCAGAGACGGUCCAGUAAGAUGACAAAUCGAAAUUGUGAAGGUUUGAAAGAUGAAAGAAGCAGUUUACUUAUCACGGCCAAUAACUGUGUGAUGCAACAAUACUCCCCCGCUCCCCCCACCCCCACCCGCCGCAGAAAAAAAGGCUCUGCUCUGGCUUUGCGACCUUAGGAACAAAAAUUAGAGGGAAGAAGAGAAAACAAGGAGAUGGGAGCAGGAGGCUGAGAACAACAGAGUGUUGAUAUUUAGAAGACAGAAGUGAAGGGAUGAGGACACCAGGCCACUAAAAGAAAAUCCAUGUAGAUGCUGAAAUCACCAAAUAUUAAGACUGGGAUAGCACUGGAGAGAAUAACAGAGUCAACAGUUAAAAUCCUCAAAAUAUGAAGGCACAAGACCACAGAGAGAUGCUCACCUGUGUCAGUGCAAACACAGAGGCAGGAAACCAGGGGCAGUUGUCAACUGCUUUUAAAAGUUGGCUACAUUCUAUCACCAAGAUCAGAAGCACAAUGGCCUAAUCAGUAACUGUGGGCACUUUGAAACAUCCUCAUAUUUAAGAGGAAAUUAAAAGGUGGUCGUUCAGAGCUGAUGAGGAGACUGAUAGCCCUUCAGCUAUAGAGAAAGGCCCUCAGGUGACAUUUUGUCCUGGAAAAAGUCUGGAAAACUGCUAAAAAGGUUGGAAUAGGAUUUGGCAGCCAUAUCGAACUAUGGAAGACCUGGACCACUGACAAGUUCCAUGCUAAGGCUAACAGCAAAGAUGGUGCCCUUUCAUCUGUAAUAACACAGCCAACACAGCAAACCUUACUUGGAAUUCAAUCCGGAACCCUAUGCAUUCUAGCCAGACAAGUGCUCUACCAUCGAGCUACGGCCCCCAGCACUACUUAGUAAUUUAACAGGUAACACUGGGUGUGUUAUUACUUCAAUUUUUUUUACCUUUUGGUACAGCUGAGGUUGAACAGUCUAACAUUUUCCACAUUUUAAUAUUCCCUAGUAAAUCAUCAUAUGUUUUGGAGCCUGAGCAUUUUUCUCACCAAUUUGUAUGAUUUCUU